rnacentral:rRNA from 1 species
GUGCCAGCAGCCGCGGUAAUACGAAGGGGGCUAGCGUUGUUCGGAUUUACUGGGCGUAAAGCGCGUGUAGGCGGGUCGUUAAGUUGGGGGUGAAAUCCCGAGGCUCAACCUCGGAACUGCCUUCAAAACUGGCGGCCUGGAGCAAAGAAGAGGCGAGUGGAAUUCCGAGUGUAGAGGUGAAAUUCGUAGAUAUUCGGAGGAACACCAGUGGCGAAGGCGACUCGCUGGUCUUUUGCUGACGCUGAGACGCGAAAGCGUGGGGAGCAAACAGGAUUAGAAACCCUCGUAGUCC